ACUCAAAUGAAUAGACGGGGGCCCGCACAAGCGGUGGAGCAUGUGGUUCAAUUCGAAGCAACGCGAAGAACCUUACCAGCUUUUGACAUGGCAGGACGGUUUCCAGAAAUGGAUUCUUCCCCGCAAGGGGCCUGCACACAGGUGCUGCAUGGCUGUCGUCAGCUCGUGUCGUGAGAUGUUGGGUUAAGUCCCGCAACGAGCGCAACCCUCGCCCUUAGUUGCCAUCAUUCAGUUGGGCACUCUAAGGGGACUGCCGGUGAUAAGCCGCGAGGAAGGUGGGGAUGACGUCAAGUCCUCAUGGCCCUUACAGGCUGGGCUACACACGUGCUACAAUGGCGGUGACAGUGGGAUGCAAUGGAGCAAUCCUGCGCAAAUCUCAAAAAGCCGUCUCAGUUCGGAUUGUGCUCUGCAACUCGAGCACAUGAAGUUGGAAUCGCUAGUAAUCGCAGAUCAGCACGCUGCGGUGAAUACGUUCCCGGGCCUUGUACACACCGCCCGU
rnacentral:rRNA from 1 species